UACGGGGGGAGCAAGCGUUGUUCGGAUUUACUGGGCGUAAAGGGCGCGUAGGCGGUCGUGACAAGUCACUUGUGAAAUCUCCGGGCUUAACUCGGAACGGUCAAGUGAUACUGUCGGACUAGAGUACAGAAGGGGCAACUGGAAUUCUCGGUGUAGCGGUGGAAUGCGCAGAUAUCAGGAGGAACACCGAUGGCGAAGGCAGGUCUCUGGGCCACUACUGACGCUGAGAAGCGAAAGCAUGGGGAGCGAACAGG
rnacentral:rRNA from 1 species